UACGGAGGGCACAAGCGUUAAUCGGAAUUAUUGGGCGUAAAGGGCGCGUAGGCGGAUUGAAAAGUUUGAUGUGAAAUUUCAUGGCUUAACCAUGAAGCUGCAUCGAAAACUGUCAGUCUAGAGGAUGGACGGAGAAAACGGAAUUCCACGUGUAGCGGUGAAAUGCGUAGAUAUGUGGAAGAACACCGGUGGCGAAAGCGGUUUUCUAGUUUAUUACUGACGCUGAGGCGCGAGAGCAAGGGGAGCAAACAGG
rnacentral:rRNA from 1 species